rnacentral:lncRNA from 1 species
GGAGGGGUUAAUUGAUAUAUAAUUGUGUUUUGUUUCUUAUAUUAAAUUUAUCUUCACUUCAGUUGUUCUGGAUUUUCUAGGAACAGGUAUCUUACAUCAUUCCAAUAGAUGAGAAACCGUAUACUGUGCACCUUAAAAAAAGAUAUUUUUUGGCAGAUAAUUUUAUGGUCUAUUUGCAUAAUAAAGGAUCUGUGAGUUCUCAUUCUUCAGAUAUUUUGACUCAAUGCUACUAUCAAGGAUAUAUUGAAGGAUAUCCAAAUUCUAUUGUCACACUCAACACAUGCUUUGGACUGAGGUUACUUAUUUAUUUUCUGUUGUUGAUUACAGAAAGCCUAGAUAUGAUAUUUGGCUGUAGUGAAUUCAUUCUCCUUAUUUUAAAUUUAUAACUAGAGGAGGAUUCCUAUGUUGUGGUUAUUCAGUAAUAUUCUAUGAACACACACUCUCUGCUUUUAUUCAUACUGAAAGUUCAGUCCUUGUCUCCACUGCUGAUCUGAUAACCAGGAAGACGGUUUAAAAGAAAAAAGGAAAAAGAAAUUUUAUUGGUUUACUAGCAAAUGAGAAACACAGGAGACUCCUGACCCAGAGUCUUCAAUUCUCUCUGCCCCAGAGGAAUGCAGGACUUUUAAAAGAGGAACACAGAGCUGGGACCCAAAUGUUAUCAAAUAAGAUUAUCAGAUAAAAUUAAGUAGUGUUCAAUAAAUGUCAUCAAGAGAGCUUUUGCUCA